GACGGUAUUGGUGUAAAGCGUGGAGAAAUGCAAUGGAAAUGAGUCAGUAUAUAUAGUGGUUUGACAGGUCUUAGGGUUUUGGGAUAGAGCAUAUCAGAAAUCUUGAUCAUCACGGUCUGGAUAUCUAAGAAAAUAUUGGAAUCGGUAUAUACCCUUAACAAAUAAGGAUAAUAUCAUUUUAGUUAGAAGAAGUUGACAAAUAUUGAAAGUGGAGAGAAUACUGAAUUGAUAUUCUUACCUUUUUUUAGGAAAG
rnacentral:lncRNA from 1 species